CUGCUGCACACAGAGGGGAAGCAGGAAGGAGUCCCUGCUUCCCCAACUUACAGCACAGGAGGGACUGAAUCCCCUCCUCCUCCAGCCCAAACUUACUGUAAGUUAGAGAGUGUGUGCUGUGUGUGUGUAACUGUGAUUGUGACUGUCUUUGACUGUGUGUGUGAUUGUCUGCUUGUGUGUGUGUGUGUGUGUGUGUGUGACUGCCUGUGAUUGUCUGCCUAUGAUUGUCUGUGUGACUCUGUGUGUGUGACUCUCUGACUGAUUGUGUGUGUGUUUGUGUGUGUGUGACUGCCUGUGAUUGUCUGCCUGUGAUUGUCUGUGUGAUUCUGUGUGUGUGACUCUCUGACUGAUAGUGUGUGUGUUUGUGUGUGUCUGACUGCCUGUGAUUGUCUGUCUGUGUGACUCUGUGUGUGUGACUCUCUGACUGAUUGUGUGUGUGUUUGUGUGUCUGCCUGUGAUUGUCUACCUGUGAUUGUCUGUGUGAUUGUCUGCCUGUGAUUGUCUGUGUGACUCUGUGUGUGUGUGACUCUCUGACUGAUUGUGUGUGUGUUUGUGUGUGUGUGACUGCCUGUGAUUGUCUACCUGUGAUUGUCUGUGUGAUUGUCUGCCUGUGAUUGUCUGUGUGAUUGUCUACCUGUGAUUGUCUGCCUGUGAUUGUCUGUGUGAUUGUCUACCUGUGAUUGUCUGUGUGAUUGCCUGUGAUUGUCUGUCUGUGAUUGUCUGUGUGAUUGCCUGUGAUUGUCUGUGUGAUUGUCUGCUUGUGAUUGUCUGUGUGACUCUGUGUGUGACUCUCUGACUGAUUGUGUGUGUGACUGUGAUUGUGUUAUGUGUAUGUAUGACUGUCUGCCUGUGAUUGUAUGUGUGUGUGUGUGUCACUGUGUGUGUGUGACUGUCUGCCUGUGAUUGUCUGUGUUACUCUGUGUGUGUGUGUGUGUCACUGUGUGUGACUGUCUGCCUGUGAUUGUGGGUGUGGGUGUGUGUGUGUGUGUGUGUGACUGUCUGCCUGUGAUUGUGUGUGUGUGACUGUCUGUGACUGUGUUGUGUGUAUGUGUGACUGUCUGUGAUUGUGUGUGUGACUGUCUGCCUGUGUGAUUGCCUGCGUAUUUGACUGUCUGCCUGUAACUGUGUGUAAGUGACUGUGUGUGGGACUGUGUGCAUCUGACUGUGUCUGACGGUCUUCACCCUGCAGUGAGCCGGCAGCCAGGAUAUGAUGUCAUCGCAGCCUCGGCGUCAUUACAGGGCGUGCGUGCGAGAGAUCCCAGCAGCAACCACUGACCACCAGGGACUGAGGAUCCACUCCAGCCCUUCUAGAGCAAG